UGGGGAAUAUUGGACAAUGGGCCAAAGCCUGAUCCAGCCAUGCCGCGUGUGUGAAGAAGGUCUUCGGAUUGUAAAGCACUUUAAGUUGGGAGGAAGGGCAUUAACCUAAUACGUUAGUGUUUUGACGUUACCGACAGAAUAAGCACCGGCUAACUCUGUGCCAGCAGCCGCGGUAAUACAGAGGGUGCAAGCGUUAAUCGGAAUUACUGGGCGUAAAGCGCGCGUAGGUGGUUUGUUAAGUUGGAUGUGAAAUCCCCGGGCUCAACCUGGGAACUGCAUUCAAAACUGACUGACUAGAGUAUGGUAGAGGGUGGUGGAAUUUCCUGUGUAGCGGUGAAAUGCGUAGAUAUAGGAAGGAACACCAGUGGCGAAGGCGACCACCUGGACUAAUACUGACACUGAGGUGCGAAAGCGUGGGGAGCAAACA
rnacentral:rRNA from 1 species